rnacentral:miRNA from 1 species
GAUCGAGAAGUUAAAUAACUCGC